rnacentral:rRNA from 1 species
UGAUUAUAAAUUAAUGUAAAUUUACCAGAGUACUAUGAACAUGCAGUUUAAAACUCAAAGGGCUUGGCGGUGCUUUAGACUCUUCAGGGGAACCUGUCUCGUAAUCGAUAGUCCACGAUAUACCUAACCUUUUUUAGACAUCAGUAUGUAUACCGUCGUCGUCAGGUAACUUUUAAAAAUAAAGAAGUUAGCAACAAAAAUUAGAAUAAUUUUGUACGUCAGAUCAAGGUGCAGCUCAUAAAAAGGUGAGGAUGGGUUACAAUUAAGAAUUAUAAUAACGGAAAGAGGUUUGGCAUAACCUCUCAUG